CAUGCGACUCUUCGGAGGCGUUACACAGGUGCUGCAUGGCCGUCGUCAGCUCGUGUCGUGAGAUGUUUGGUUAAGUCCAGCAACGAGCGCAACCCCUGUUGCCAGUUACCAGCACGUGAAGGUGGGGACUCUGGCGAGACUGCCCAGAUCAACUGAGAGGAAGGUGGGGACGACGUCAGGUCAGUAUGGCCCUUAUGCCCAGGGCUGCACACGUACUACAAUGCCCAGUACAGAGGGGGCCGAAGCCGCGAGGCGGAGGAAAUCCUAAAAACUGGGCCCAGUUCGGACUGUAGGCUGCAACCCGCCUACACGAAGCCGGAAUCGCUAGUAAUGGCGCAUCAGCUACGGCGCCGUGAAUACGUUCCCGGGUCUUGUACACACCGCCCGUCACAUCAUGGAAGCCGGUCGCACCCGAAGUAUCUGAAGCCAACCGCAAGGAGGCAGGGUCCUAAGGUGAGACUGGUAACUGGGAUGAAGUCGUAACAAGGUAGCCGUAGGGGAACCUGCGGCUGGAUCACCUCCUU
rnacentral:rRNA from 1 species